rnacentral:rRNA from 1 species
AACGAACGCUGGCGGCAUGCCUAACACAUGCAAGUCGAACGAGAUCUUCGGGUCUAGUGGCGCACGGGUGCGUAACGCGUGGGAAUCUGCCCUUUGGUUCGGAAUAACAGUUGGAAACGACUGCUAAUACCGGAUGAUGACGAAAGUCCAAAGAUUUAUCGCCAGAGGAUGAGCCCGCGUAGGAUUAGCUAGUUGGUGUGGUAAAGGCGCACCAAGGCGACGAUCCUUAGCUGGUCUGAGAGGAUGAUCAGCCACACUGGGGCUGAGACACGGCCCAGACUCCUACGGGAGGCAGCAGUGGAGAAUAUUGGACAAUGGGCGAAAGCUUGAUCCAGCAAUGCCGCGUGAGUGAUGAAGGCCUUAGGGUUGUAAAGCUCUUUUACCCGGGAUGAUAAUGACAGUACCGGGAGAAUAAGCUCCGGCUAACUCCGUGCCAGCCGCCGCGGUAA